GAUGAACGCUAGCUACAGGCUUAACACAUGCAAGUCGAGGGGCAGCAUGAACUUAGCUUGCUAAGUUUGAUGGCGACCGGCGCACGGGUGAGUAACGCGUAUCCAACCUGCCCUUUACGCGGGGAUAGCCUUCUGAAAGGAAGUUUAAUACCCGAUGAAUUCGUUUAGUCGCAUGGCUUGAUGAAGAAAGAUUUAUCAGUAAAGGAUGGGGAUGCGUCCCAUUAGCUGGUUGGUGGGGUAACGGCCCACCAAGGCGACGAUGGGUAGGGGUUCUGAGAGGAAGGUCCCCCACAUUGGAACUGAGACACGGUCCAAACUCCUACGGGAGGCAGCAGUGAGGAAUAUUGGUCAAUGGGCGCGAGCCUGAACCAGCCAAGUAGCGUGGAGGACGACGGCCCUACGGGUUGUAAACUCCUUUUAUAAGGGGGAUAAAGUUGGCCAUGUAUGGCCAUUUGCAGGUACCUUAUGAAUAAGCAUCGGCUAAUUCCGUGCCAGCAGCCGCGGU
rnacentral:rRNA from 1 species